rnacentral:lncRNA from 10 species
CAUGAGUACAGCUCACACAGGGAAAGGGGAAAACAGCAACCUCUUGAGCUGGAGCCUUAGGCUAGAAAAGAUCACUGAUUACCCACCUGUUCCCCCUGGAUACUAGGGCUUCAAUCCAGAAGGUGCUGUGAUGAAGUGGCUUCAGCAAAAUAUUACCUGAGACAUCCUGAUCCAUUAUGAGAACGGCAGCAGCAGGAUUUGGCCUGGGGAUGGAACAAAGGGACCCCCUGCUGUAGAGCAAGGGAUGCAGCAUCCUCGUGGCUGUUCACAUACCAUUGCACUGGGAUAUGUCUCUCUUCACUCUCCAUUUCCCACCCCACAAAAACCCCAUCGCCUGCCUUAUGUGAGAAUUGGAACCAUAAAAAUAAAACAAAGAUGUCUUCUUAUGUAUGAUAAUUAAUGGGAACAAAAUGUCUUGGAUGAAAUAUUACUGGCAAAACAAAGCAUAACCAGAUGUUGUGCAAUGCAAGACCCAACAUAAAGUAAUGAAGAACUCCACUGAGUCAGACGUGUCUACUUGAAAAAUGUUUACUUUGACAAUCAAAUGAAAAAGUAAAAAAUAUAUAGAUGCAAAGACUGCUUUUCAGGAAAACAGUGGGUUCUUUCCCCAGAGCUCUAAAAAGUUUAGAUAUUGUAGCCAAAACGUCGUAAAAUAUGAUUUUGUUUUCUGCUUUUUUUCCCCAGGGAGAAGGGAAUUUUAAAGAAGAGAUUGCAUCAAUAAAGAUUCUUUUAGCAUUAUUUUUAUCAUUAUAAAAAUUACACAUACUUGUUUUAGAUUAUUUGAAAACUUCAGAGCUGUAAAGAUGAAAAUAAAAAUUGCUUAUUAUCUUAAUCGGCAAAAUUAAC